rnacentral:rRNA from 1 species
GGAAGGCAGCAGGCGCGCAAAUUGCCCAAUCCCGACACGGGGAGGCAGUGACAAGAAAUAACAACUCUUGGAUUUCUAAGAAGUGUAAUGAGGAUAAUUUACAACCCUUACCGAAAGCAAUUGGAGGGCAAGUCUGGUGCCAGCAGCCGCGGUAAUUCCAGCUCCAAUAGCGUAUAUUAAAGUUGUUGCAGUUAAAAAGCUCGUAGUUGAAGUUCUGAUUGUUCGGGCCUCGCGCUUUAUAGCCGAGGAACCGACAGUCAUCCGCUUGCAAAUAUAUGUUCGCCUUUAACCGGGUGGCUAUAUGAGUAAGCAAUUUACCUUGAGAAAAACAGAGUGUUCCAGGCAGGUUUGUCCGGAAUGCAUUAGCAUGGAAUAAUAGAAUAUGACUGAAGUCGAUUUAUUGGUUUAAGGCUUUAGUAAUGACUAAUAGGAACAGUCGGGGGCAUUGGUACUUGACAGUCAGAGGUGAAAUUCUAGGAUUUGUCAAAGACUAACAAAUGCGAAAGCAUUUGCCAAGGAUGUUUUCAUUAAUCAAGAACGAAAGUUAGGGGAUCAAAGACGAUCAGAUACCGUCCUAGUCUUAACUAUAAACUAUACCGACUCGGAUUCAGAUGAAUCAAAAAGUUCAUUUGGGACCGUAGGAGAAAUCAAAGUUUUUGGGUUCUGGGGGAAGUAUGGUCGCAAGGCUGAAACUUAAAGGAAUUGACGGUUUUGCACCACCAUGGAGUGGAGUUUGCGGCUUAAUUUGACUCAACACUGGGAAACUCAUCAGGGCAAGAAGAUUUUAGGAUUGACAGAUUGAGAGUUCUUUCUUGAUUGGUCUAGUGGUGGUGCAUGGCCGUUCUUAGUUGGUGGAGUGAUUUGUCUGGUUAAUUCCGUUAACGAACGAGACCUUAACCUGCUAACUAGUAUUAGUAUCCCAAAUACUAACUACUUCUUAGAGGGACUAUGUGAUGUAAUCACAUGGAAGUUUGAGGCAAUAACAGGUCUGUGAUGCCCUUAGAUGUCCUGAGCUGCACGCGUACUACAAUGGCACUUUCAACGAGCAUUUCCUGAUCCGAAAGGAUUUGGGUAAUCUUUUUAGUGAGUGCCGUGAUUGGGAUAGAUCUUUGUAAUUAUGGAUCUUGAACUAGGAAUUCCUAGUAAGCGCGAGUCAUCAGCUCGUGCUGAUUACGUCCCUGCAAAAUGUACACACCGCCCGUCGCUUUUACCGAUUGAGUGCUC